CAGCCGCCGCGGGAAUACGUAGGGUGCGAGCGUUAAUCGGAAUUACUGGGCGUAAAGCGUGCGCAGGCGGUUUUGUAAGACAGGCGUGAAAUCCCCGGGCUCAACCUGGGAAUGGCGCUUGUGACUGCAAAGCUAGAGUGCGGCAGAGGGGGAUGGAAUUCCGCGCGUAGCAGUGAAAUGCGUAGAUAUGCGGAGGAACACCGAUGGCGAAGGCAAUCCCCUGGGCCUGCACUGACGCUCAUGCACGAAAGCGUGGGGAGCAAACAGGAUUAGAUACCCCCGUAGUCCCUGUCUCUUAUAC
rnacentral:rRNA from 1 species